ACCUUUAGAUCGUUCUUGCGUGAUCUCUCUAUUCCUUUCCUUACACACAUUGAAACGAAGGGGCUACAAGGAGUACCGUUUUAAAAGAAGAGGAAAGUCGAAGGAAUUGGUAUUUUUGCUUCAUGUAGAUUAAUUGUAGAACUGUAUUUUUAAAGAAGGGAAUGAUGCAGUUCAUGUUGCUUUUCAGUCGCCAAGGAAAGUUGAGGCUUCAAAAGUGGUAUGUCCCAUUAUCAGAUAAAGAAAAGAAAAAGAUCACCCGGGAACUUGUCCAGACAGUACUGGCUCGAAAGCCCAAAAUGUGUAGCUUCUUGGAGUGGCGUGACCUGAAAAUUGUUUACAAAAGGUAUGCAAGUUUGUAUUUCUGCUGUGCCAUUGAAGAUCAGGACAAUGAGCUAAUAACCCUUGAAAUUAUACAUCGCUACGUAGAACUGUUGGAUAAAUAUUUUGGCAGCGUAUGUGAACUGGAUAUAAUCUUUAACUUUGAGAAGGCCUAUUUCAUCCUCGAUGAGUUUCUUUUAGGAGGAGAAGCACAGGAGACUUCGAAGAAAAAUGUCCUUAAAGCAAUCGAGCAGGCAGAUCUUUUGCAGGAGAGCCAAAAUGAAGACUGGGGAGGUUUAUCUUCUGAUGAUAUCUUAUAAUUGAAAAUGAGUCUGAGACUUUGUCCUCUCAGAUGCCCUCCCAACUGUGGCCACGCCAUGAGUAUUUUAAUGUCCCUGUGUACUAAAUGGCUCUGCUGCUCAUCCUGCAUGCUGAAAUUCCACGGCACUUUCCACAGCUGCUUUCCCGUUGGCACAGCAUUGUCUUGGCAAAAAAACAUCCAUUUCAAGUCAUACUUCGUAUGUUGUCACUUGUUGAUCUUCAGUAUUUUUUUUUUGGUCUUUUGCUAUCAUGUUGAUAGUCUUUUUUUUUUUUUUUUUUUUUUUAGUGCUUUAAAUUGUGGUAUAUCAUGUAUGUGUUUUCUAUUUUAACUUGUUUUUAGUUGCCCUUUAUAUUAUAAAGUAUGUGUAAAUACAAUAUAUAUGUAGUAUAAUGCACUAUUCUGUUUCUACAGUGUAAUUUGUAAUUUAUUUGUAUUAAAACAUUAAUGCAUUGCUUCCUUAAUUAUAUGUUAAUAAUUAAAAGCAGUGGUAGUAUUUGAAAUAAUCUACCAGUACUGUUAAAGGUUAUUUGAUGUCUGCGUAGGCUCUUUUAAGUUUUGAUACAUCAGCAGAAUGCAUUUUUUAUGCAUAUGAAUACUAGUGUUUCAUAUCAGAUUCCAAUUUUAGACUCCUUUCCUUUAUAUGAAUUUCUUAUUACCUUAUUUGGGAUAAUCGUCUUUUGUGGCUUCAAUAUGCAGAUAUGAAUGCUGUUGUUAUAAUUAAGAUUUCCACAUCUAUUUAAAUGGAAAGUUUUCUUCCUUUGAUUUAAUCUGUAUAGAGGGAGAAAAAAAACAUUCUGAAAUAAUAUAUAUAUAUAAAAUAUAAAAGUCUAUUAAAAUAUGCUUUGUGCAUUAUCUGCAUGUUAUACAUUCAGGGGUGUAACACAUUCUGCAUUUUUCAUGUUCAGAAUUCUUACUUUUAACAUAUAAAUUGACUACAUUUCAGAACUUCGCUGUUUUUACCCUAGUUGUUGGGUUCAUACUGGAUUUCUAUGUUUCUGCCUAUAAUACUUGAUCUCCCUUCUGAAUAAAGUAUAGCAUGUUAACUUU